GAUGAACGCUGGCGGCGUGCCUAAUACAUGCAAGUCGAGCGAACAGACGAGGAGCUUGCUCCUCUGACGUUAGCGGCGGACGGGUGAGUAACACGUGGAUAACCUACCUAUAAGACUGGGAUAACUUCGGGAAACCGGAGCUAAUACCGGAUAAUAUAUUGAACCGCAUGGUUCAAUAGUGAAAGACGGUUUUGCUGUCACUUAUAGCUGGAUCCGCGCCGCAUUAGCUAGUUGGUAAGGUAACGGCUUACCAAGGCAACGAUGCGUAGCCGACCUGAGAGGGUGAUCGGCCACACUGGAACUGAGACACGGUCCAGACUCCUACGGGAGGCAGCAGUAGGGAAUCUUCCGCAAUGGGCGAAAGCCUGACGGAGCAACGCCGCGUGAGUGAUGAAGGUCUUCGGAUCGUAAAACUCUGUUAGUAGGGAAGAACAAAUGUGUAAGUAACUAUGCACGUCUUGACGGUACCUAAUCAGAAAGCCACGGCUAACUACGUG
rnacentral:rRNA from 1 species